AUUGAACGCUGGCGGCAGGCUUAACACAUGCAAGUCGAGCGAGCGGCGGACGGGUGAGUAAUGUCUGGGAAACUGCCUGAUGGAGGGGGAUAACUACUGGAAACGGUAGCUAAUACCGCAUACCAUCAGAUGUGCCCAGAUGGGAUUAGCUAGUAGGUGGGGUAAUGGCUCACCUAGGCGACGAUCCCUAGCUGGUCUGAGAGGGUGACAGGCCACACUGGAGCUGGAACACGGUCCAGGCGCCUACGGCAGGCAGCAGUGGGGAAUUUGGGGCAGUGGGGGGAAGCCUGAUGCAGCCAGGCCGGGUGUAUGAAGAAGGACUUCGGGUUGUAAAGUACGUUCUGUCGGGAGGGGUAACCGAAAGAGGAAGCACCGGCUAACUCCGUGCAAGCGGCCGCGGUAAUA
rnacentral:rRNA from 1 species